AACGAACGCUGGCGGCAGGCCUAACACAUGCAAGUCGAGCGGACCUUUCGGGGUCAGCGGCGGACGGGUGAGUAACGCGUGGGAAUAUGCCCUUCUCUACGGAAUAGUCCUGGGAAACUGGGGGUAAUACCGUAUACGCCCUUUGGGGGAAAGAUUUAUCGGGGAAGGAUUAGCCCGCGUUGGAUUAGGUAGUUGGUGGGGUAAUGGCCUACCAAGCCGACGAUCCAUAGCUGGUUUGAGAGGAUGAUCAGCCACACUGGGACUGAGACACGGCCCAGACUCCUACGGGAGGCAGCAGUGGGGAAUCUUAGACAAUGGGGGCAACCCUGAUCUAGCCAUGCCGCGUGAGUGAUGAAGGCCUUAGGGUUGUAAAGCUCUUUCAGCUGGGAAGAUAAUGACGGUACCAGCAGAAGAAGCCCAGGCUAACUCCGU
rnacentral:rRNA from 1 species